GAUGAACGCUGGCGGCGUGCCUAAUACAUGCAAGUCGAGCGAACAGACGAGGAGCUUGCUCCUCUGACGUUAGCGGCGGACGGGUGAGUAACACGUGGAUAACCUACCUAUAAGACUGGGAUAACUUCGGGAAACCGGAGCUAAUACCGGAUAAUAUAUUGAACCGCAUGGUUCAAUAGUGAAAGACGGUUUUGCUGUCACUUAUAGAUGGAUCCGCGCCGCAUUAGCUAGUUGGUAAGGUAACGGCUUACCAAGGCAACGAUGCGUAGCCGACCUGAGAGGGUGAUCGGCCACACUGGAACUGAGACAAGGUCCAGACUACUACGGGAGGCAGCAGUAGGGAAUCUUCCGCAAUGGGCGAAAGCUUGACGGAGCAACGCCGCGUGAGUGAUGAAGGUCUUCGGAUCGUAAAACUCUGUUAUUAGGGAAGAACAAAUGUGUAAGUAACUAUGCACGUCUUGACGGUACCUAAUCAGAAAGCCACGGCUAACUACGUG
rnacentral:rRNA from 1 species